rnacentral:rRNA from 1 species
CGUUCUUUUUUUUCUCAAUUCAGGAUACACCAGUGCUACAAUGCGCGCAUACAAAGAGAUGCGACCUCGCGAGAGCAAGCGGACCUCAUAAAGUGCGUCGUAGUCCGGAUUGGAGUCUGCAACUCGACUCCAUGAAGUCGGAAUCGCUAGUAAUCGUGGAUCAGAAUGCCACGGUGAAUACGUUCCCGGGCCUUGUACACACCGCCCGUCACACCAUGGGAGUGGGUUGCAAAAGAAGUAGGUAGCUUAACCUUCGGGAGGGCGCUUACCACUUUGUGAUUCAUGACUGGGGUGAAGUCGUAACAAGGUAACCGUAGGGGAACCUGCGGUUGGAUCACCUCCUAAAAGCU